rnacentral:rRNA from 1 species
UGGGGAAUAUUGCACAAUGGGCGCAAGCCUGAUGCAGCCAUGCCGCGUGUGUGAAGAAGGCCUUCGGGUUGUAAAGCACUUUCAGCGGGGAGGAAGGCGAUAAGGUUAAUAACCUUGUCGAUUGACGUUACCCGCAGAAGAAGCACCGGCUAACUCCGUGCCAGCAGCCGCGGUAAUACGGAGGGUGCAAGCGUUAAUCGGAAUUACUGGGCGUAAAGCGCACGCAGGCGGUUUGUUAAGUCAGAUGUGAAAUCCUCGGGCUCAACCUGGGAACUGCAUCUGAUACUGGCAAGCUUGAGUCUCGUAGAGGGGGGUAGAAUUCCAGGUGUAGCGGUGAAAUGCGUAGAGAUCUGGAGGAAUACCGGUGGCGAAGGCGGCCCCCUGGACAAAGACUGACGCUCAGGUGCGAAAGCGUGGGGAGCAAACAGG